rfam:Tncultured Desulfofustis sp. PB-SRB1 scaffold_1838, whole genome shotgun sequence.
CAAGUCCCACACAGAUGAAGGUGUAGCCUACCAAUCUGGCCCCGAGUCAUGCGCGGUGGUUCGUGAGGACUAACGUGAAGUGUUGACAGGGGUGGCUAUAGGCUGGGUAUUGAGCUGCGAAAUUUAAGUUUGAGGUGUCGAUGUUGUUAAGCGAAACAGAAGACCAUGCUGGUGCGAGCGUUAUCGGGCGAGUUCGUAUUCCAGGCCUUACGCAGUCGGAGACCC